rnacentral:rRNA from 1 species
AGCUCCAAUAGCGUAUAUUAAAGUUGUUGCAGUUAAAAAGCUCGUAGUUGGAUUUGUGGCAGUCGCGUGCGGCCCGGCAUUCGUGCCGGUGCUUGCUAGCGUCGCCAUCCUUGGGUGGAACCUGUGUGGCAUUAGGUUGUCGUGCAGGGGAUGCCCAUCGUUUACUGUGAAAAAAUUAGAGUGUUCAAAGCAGGCUUAUGCCGUUGAAUAUAUUAGCAUGGAAUAAUAAGAUAGGACCUUGGUACUAUUUUGUUGGUUUGCGCACCAAGGUAAUGAUUAAUAGGGACAGUUGGGGGUAUUCGUAUUCCAUUGUCAGAGGUGAAAUUCUUGGAUUUUUGGAAGACGAACUACUGCGAAAGCAUUUACCAAGGAUGUUUUCAUUAAUCAAGAACGAAAGUAC